rnacentral:rRNA from 1 species
UACGGAGGGUGCGAGCGUUGUCCGGAAUCACUGGGCGUAAAGCGCACGUAGGCGGCUUUGUAAGUUAGAGGUGAAAAGCCCGGGGCUCAACUCCGGAAUUGCCUUUAAGACUGCAUCGCUAGAAUUGUGGAGAGGUAAGUGGAAUUCCGAGUGUAGAGGUGAAAUUCGUAGAUAUUCGGAAGAACACCAGUGGCGAAGGCGACUUACUGGACACAUAUUGACGCUGAGGUGCGAAAGCGUGGGGAGCAAACAGG